rnacentral:rRNA from 1 species
GACGUAGGGCGCGAGCGUUGUCCGGAUUUAUUGGGCGUAAAGAGCUCGUAGGCGGCUUGUCGCGUCGAAUGUGAAAACUCGGGGCUCAACUCCGAGCUUGCAUUCGAUACGGGCAGGCUAGAGUUCGGUAGGGGAGACUGGAAUUCCUGGUGUAGCGGUGAAAUGCGCAGAUAUCAGGAAGAACACCGGUGGCGAAGGCGGCUCUCUGGGCCUUACCUGACGCUGAGGAGCGAAAGCGUGGGUAGCGAACAGG